rnacentral:rRNA from 1 species
CUUGCAAUCUACGUCGGCGACCGGCGCACGGGUGCGUAACGCGUAUGCAACCUACCCAUUACAGGGGGAUAACACUGAGAAAUCGGUACUAAUACCCCAUAACAUCCAGGGAGGUAUCUUCUUGGGUUGAAAACUCCGGUGGUAAUGGAUGGGCAUGCGUUGUAUUAGUUAGUUGGUGGGGUAACGGCUCACCAAGACAACGAUACAUAGGGGGACUGAGAGGUUAACCCCCCACAUUGGUACUGAGACACGGACCAAACUCCUACGGAAGGCAGCAG